AUGUUAUUACAGGGAAAGAAACUGAGCUGGGAAUUUUUCUUGACAAUAGCUGAAGAACUUCUGAGAAGUCCUGGAAUACCAGGAUUUGCUUGGUGGGGAGCUCACUCCAGUGAGAGGAAUGAAAUGUUACUGAACUUGCGGAAUUUUCUACACUCUGUAAAAAUGGAACAAAAAACAAUGAGUAGCCAAUAAAAAUGGUGCAGUGUUAACACUGACAGCCUCCUUCAGCUCAUAUCAUCAAGCAUUUAUCAUCAAGAAGAUGGGAAACAUCACUACAUUGUCUGUGCCUAUGCUUCAUGCUCUAAGGAACUGCACUGGUGGCUUUUCUAACCUGUCUGUCCCUGACUCUGUCAAGAAAAACACUGAAGAAUCUUGAUUUCCUCUAACUGCAGAAUGAGAAAGUCGCUAAAACUGCAAAAAGUGUCYUAGGACACGAGAUCUGUUCAAAAACUGUUCCCAGAAGAUGUCCUUUCCCUGUGCUUUAAUAUCUCUUAGCUUUGCUUAGCCACUGAGUGCACAAAAGAGAAAUGAGACCAUGUUAUUGUUCAUCCCUACACUCUUAUCCUUUCAAUGCUGCCCUUAGCAUUUUUUGCCAUUCCUUUCUGUCC
rnacentral:lncRNA from 1 species